rnacentral:lncRNA from 1 species
CUUAAUGUAGGGUUUGUUUGAUUUUCACUUCUGUUUUGAUGAUGAUUAUUCUUUUAAUGGUUCGGAUAAGUAGUUUGCAACCCAAAAUCAGUAGUCAUUUGGUUUUGAAAUUUUUGCUUGGAAUGUGUUAGCUGAUUGACAUUCAAAUUAUAGGUUUAAGUGUAGUAAAUUAGAAGGGUUAGGGUAUUUAACAUGAGUGGUAAUUGUAGAAGUAAUUCAAGGGUGGUUUGGGUAGUUCAUUGGGGAAUCUUUAUCAGCUGAUUUGGGAAGCUUCUAGAAUAGGGGUCAAAAUUGAAAUUCAGACUUUUAAUUGUAGUAACUUGGGUAGCAAGCUAAGAAUUUAGGGACUGAUUGGUUAAAUCUGAAAAAUAAGAUAAGGACUAAAGGGAAAACACAAAGGAAAGGGUUGACGUAGGCUUUGGCUAUAAAUAGGCAAGUUAGUGCCUUCAUUCACAGGUUUGAACAGUCUAAGAAAUCCAUAAAAUUCCCAAGUUUUUAGGUCUGAAAAUCCCAGAAAAAUUCUCAAAAAGUUUCCAGCCUCUAAAAGUUCUUUUAGACAUGAAAGCUUCAUAAAAUCACAAAAUAUAUUGUUUCAUUGGAGUCUUUGUUUGAUUAGUUUCAAUUCUAAGCAUUUUGAGUAUGUUGUGAAUGUUCAAUCAAGGCUGUGUUUGGUAUAUUGGUGAUAUUAGUGCUUUGAAAUCAUGUCUGGGGCUACAAUGGUAUCGAGUUGGGAUUCUAGUUUAUUUAAACAUCAUGUGGCUGUUUAAUUUCAACGGCUGAUUUUCUAUGCUGCAUUGUUGCUAAAUACUGCUAACUCUUUUUCCCUUUGAUAAUUUCACUUCCAGGUACGUUGUAAAACUUUGUGUUGAAUGGAUUGAACUCAUAUGUACAACUUUUUGUUUUGAAGAAGAAUACUGAAGAACCUUUCCUUGUCCCUAUCUUGUUACAUGGAUUUGAUCUGA